rnacentral:rRNA from 1 species
AGCGAACGCUGGCGGUAGGCCUAACACAUGCAAGUCGAACGAACCUUUCGGGGUUAGUGGCUGACGGGUGAGUAACACGUGGGAACGUGCCUUUAGGUUCGGAAUAACUCAGGGAAACUUGUGCUAAUACCGAAUGUGCCCUUCGGGGGAAAGAUUUAUCGCCUUUAGAGCGGCCCGCGUCUGAUUAGCUAGUUGGUUGAGGUAAUGGCUCACCAAGGCGACGAACAGUAGCUGGUCUGAGAGGAUGAUCAGCCACAUUGGGACUGAGACACGGCCCAAACUCCUACGGGAGGCAGCAGUGGGGAAUCUUGCGCAAUGGGCGAAAGCCUGACGCAGCCAUGCCGCGUGAAUGAUGAAGGUCUUAGGAUUGUAAAAUUCUUUCACCGGGGACGAUAAUGACGGUACCCGGAGAAGAAGCCCCGGCUAACUUCGUG